rnacentral:rRNA from 1 species
UUGGGUUUUAAAGCGCACGUAGGCGGAUCAGUCAGUCAGGGGUGAAAUCCCGGGGGCUCAACCCCCGGAACUGCCUUUUGAUACUGCUGGUCUGGAGGUCGAGAGAGGUGAGUGGAAUUCCGAGUGUAGAGGUGAAAUUCGUAGAUAUUCGGAGGAACAUCAGUGGCGAAGGCGGCUCACUGGCUCGAACCUGACGCUGAGGUGCGAAAGCGUGGGGAGCAAACAGGAUUAGAUACCCGGGUA